GGAGGUAACAGCGUGUCACACAUGUGAUGUCAUAACCAUUGUCCACCAAAGAGCAGCACUGAGCAGAAAUAACACGGCUCCUGUUCAUUCUCCAUCAGUGAGGGGCCGGUGCUGGACACUGUGUAGGGACGCGGGAAUGCAAAGUCAUACACAUGACUGUGACUGAUGCACUAUCUCCAGGACAUGGAGUAGCAUUUCGGGACCUACAGCAAGACGUUGGAUGAAGGCACAGGCCUAGGAAUCAUGCACAUACACAGAAACAUUUGCCCAAAUUCUAGAGGUAACCUCCUUUAGUAUGCCCAGAGGAAGGGCCAUACAGUAGCCAUGGAUUCCCUACAGGUUUCCUCCCCUCUGGAGGUUUUUCCUGUCCUGAGUAUUAGUUACUGUCCGCUCUUUGUGAGUGAUGGGAGGUUACAAAAAAUCCCCUACACAAACAUUUUAAUAAU